rnacentral:rRNA from 1 species
UACGUAGGGGGCAAGCGUUGUCCGGAUUUAUUGGGCGUAAAGAGCUCGUAGGUGGUUCGGUAAGUCGGAUGUGAAAUCUCCAGGCUCAACCUGGAGGGGUCAUUCGAUACUGCCGUGACUAGAGUUCGGUAGGGGAGUGUGGAAUUCCUGGUGGAGCGGUGAAAUGCGCAGAUAUCAGGAGGAACACCAAUUGCGAAGGCAGCUCGCUGGGACGUUACUGACGCUGAGACGCGAAAGCGUGGGGAGCAAACAGG